AUUGAAACACCGGUUCUCGUACGAUCAUCGAAGUUAAGCAACGCUGAACCUGGUCAGUACUUAGAUGGGUGAUCGCUUGCAAAUAUC